AGCAGACAAACAUGAUGUGGGUGAUGUUUACGUUGGGUUGUUUUGGUUUACAAUAAAUAAAAUUCAUCUUUUACACUUCACAUGUUUUUUCAUGA